GACGAACGCUGGCGGCGUGCUUAACACAUGCAAGUCGAACGGAAAGGCCCUGCUUUUGUGGGGUGCUCGAGUGGCGAACGGGUGAGUAACACGUGAGUAACCUGCCCUUGACUUUGGGAUAACUUCAGGAAACUGGGGCUAAUACCGGAUAGGAGCUCCUGCUGCAUGGUGGGGGUUGGAAAGUUUCGGCGGUGGGGGAUGGACUCGCGGCUUAUCAGCUUGUUGGUGGGGUAGUGGCUUACCAAGGCUUUGACGGGUAGCCGGCCUGAGAGGGUGACCGGCCACAUUGGGCCUGAGAGACGGCCCAGACUCCUACGGGAGGCAGCAGUGGGGAGUCUUGCACAGUGGGCGGAAGCCUGAUGCAGCAACGCCGCGUGCGGGAUGACGGCCUUCGGGUUGUAAACCGCUUUCGCCUGUGACGAAGCGUGAGUGACGGUAAUGGGUAAAGAAGCACCGGCUAACUACGUG
rnacentral:rRNA from 1 species